GACCUGGUGGUGAAUGGCUCAUACCCACUUUAUUUACAAUAGGUAUGCAUACGGAAUACGGUGGAUGUCCCCGGUUCGAAUCCGGGCCAGGUCA